ACUGUAUCCAUCUGUAAGGUCGUCAACAUGAAGCACCAUUUUGAAUCCUAGCACGGUAACUUCAACACGGCCUCUCCUCCUGGCAGCGUUGCAAGACGUGACAAAAUUGAAAAUCUGAAGUCUUCGUAUCACACUUCAAAUGUCAUUCUCACAACACCAGUGACUGUACAGAAAAAAGCAAAGCUGCUUCUCUUCGGAUAAUGUUGGUCCUAGCUAAAAAGAAAAAGCCUUUCCUGGAUGCCGAGCUUGUGAAGAAGUGCACAUUGAAAAUACUGGAGAACCUUUUCGCUGGAAAUAAAAACAAAGAUGACAUUGUGAACCACGUGAAGCAAGUUCUCCUGUCUGAUUCCACAGCAGUGUGAAGAUUGGAGGUGAGCAUCUUCACCAGUGCAUGCCUCUUGCCCUGGCCUCCUAGAAACCACUCUUCAAAAAGCUUGCCAGAGAUCGUCAACGUCACCUCUCCCAUUAGAGAUUGCCACAAACACAGGCUUGUCCACCCACCCUCCCUUCCUUGAUUCACUCUGCAAUCUUGAAGCAUGAAAUAGAGUGUGGGCCAAACUGAAACCAAUCAAGUAACACCAGGGGUGAAUCUGGUCUUAUUUGUUUCAUUCUUUGCUCAUUCUACAAUAUUUCAUUUCACUUAACAGAAGAAAGUAAAUCUGAAAGGCUGGGGAGGUUUAUUUCAAAAGUCACAUAACAUCUUUGUAGUUUUUUCCUCAGAUUAAAAACAGUACUAGAGGGGUUUCCAUCCCAGAAUUUUAGGCAUUCAGAAAAAAUAAAAAUGAAAAACAGAAACCAUCUUAAGUCCUUUUGAAAGCAAAAUCUCAUUCUAAUAAUGA